CACGUAGGGCGCAAGCGUUUGUCCGGAAUUAUUGGGCGUAAAGAGCUCGUAGGCGGCCGGUUGCGUCUGCUGUGAAAUCCCGGGGCUUAACCCCGGGCGUGCAGUGGAUACGGGCCGGCUGGAGGCAGGCAGGGGAGAAUGGAAUUCCCGGUGUAGCGGUGAAAUGCGCAGAUAUCGGGAGGAACACCGGUGGCGAAGGCGGUUCUCUGGGCCUGUACUGACGCUGAGGAGCGAAAGCGUGGGGAGCGAACAGG
rnacentral:rRNA from 1 species